rnacentral:rRNA from 1 species
GUGAGGAAUAUUGCGCAAUGGAGGCAACUCUGACGCAGCCAUGCCGCGUGCAGGAAGAAGGCGCUACGCGUUGUAAACUGCUUUUAACCGGGAAGAAACCCCAGGACGUGUCCUGGGUUGACGGUACCGGAGGAAUAAGCACCGGCUAACUUCGUGCCAGCAGCCGCGGUAAUACGAAGGGUGCAAGCGUUAUCCGGAUUCAUUGGGUUUAAAGGGUGCGUAGGCGGAGCGUUAAGUCAGUGGUGAAAUCCUGCAGCUUAAAUGUAGACGUGCCAUUGAUACUGGCGCUCUUGAGUGCGCUUGAAGUGGGCGGAAUGUGCCGUGUAGCGGUGAAAUGCUUAGAUAUGGCACAGAACACCAAUUGCGAAGGCAGCUCACUAAGGCGAUACUGACGCUGAGGCACGAAAGCGUGGGGAUCGAACAGGAUUAGAAACCCCUGUAGUCC